AGAUAAGAGGAUCUUUUAUUUAGUAGACUUGAUUUUGACAUAAGAGACCAUACGUGUCACGUUUUUGUUGGGCAACCGAUUAAUAGAAGAUUAAAAAAAAAUUUGAUGGUCGAUAGUUUUAUUUCUUUCUCUCCCUCUCUCUCUCGAUGGAAGACGCGAAUUGACAAUGAAGGAGAUAGAAUCAAAGAUAUGGAAUCAGAUGGUUUGGGCAUCGGAGGAGAUGCGAAGCGGAGGAGAUUGAAUCGGCGGAGGCGAUUAGGAGGAGAUUCAAUCGGAGGAUCCGGCCACUGAAUCAUCAAACGCCGGCGAUAUUAAGCUACCCUCGUCGCCGACUUACUUUGAACGGCCUCUCUCUCGCCGUCGAGAAGCAUGGUUCCUUCAUCGUCGAGUACAACGUCCCUAAGAAGGUUAAUUUCUGAAGAAUUGAGGCAAAACCAAACAAUUGCAGUAGAACUAAGAGUUUUUGGGUUUAUUUAGGGUUGGUGUAAUCUGAAUCACUCUGAGCUCACUUCAUGUUUCAGCACUUCUAAGGAAGAGAUUAUUUCUGUCUGUUUGGAUACCAAAAUGUUGGACACUGGCUCCAAAGAUGCAAUCUUAUGUUUGGUGGGGAUGGGAGAAAUGGGAGAGAGAGAUUGACUGGAUGGCAUUGGAAGGAAUCAACUUGCCUCUAGCAUUUACAGGGCAAGAAGCUAUUUCAACAACAGUUUCCAACAUCCUUGCGUCACAAAAACAGAACAUUACUCGGGGGUACAAGAAUCCUUUGGGAUGAAUGAGUUGAUGCAGAAGGAGUUUUAUGGCUAUGAUCAGAACAUGUGUAGUAUGGGUAACAUCAAUAGCAGCAGCUUUCAACAUCCUUGCGUCUCAAACACAGAAGCAGUACAAGAAUCUGUGAAUAACUAUGGGCUGGAUCAGUUGAUGCAGAUGCAGCUUUAUGGUUGUGAUCAGAACAUGUCUAGUAUGGGUAACUCCGGGUUGAUGCAGCAUGAAGUUUAUGGUUAUGAUCAGAACUUGUAUACGAGUGAUAUUACCGACAGAAACGUUCCAGAUCCUAGUCUCUCAAACACAGUCUGAGAUUUCUCUAAAAUCAAUCAAACUGUCCAAUUAUGAAGCUGUCUAUGCAUUGCAUUGGUGUCUAUUUGAAUGUGUCGGGCACUGAUGCCUGGAGAUGAAGAGAGCGUAAAUGAUGAAGCAAUAUGGGAAGCUCUUCCUGUAAGUACAUGUUUUCAUUUAAGGUCUAAGCUGUUGUUAAAAGUGAUUGGUUCGGCAGCUUAAGACAAUAUCACUUCUCUCUUUACUUGCUUAAGUUGCAUUUAGUUUCUAUGUGUGAGUUAUCAGUCAUAUACUAAUGUUACCAUACUCUUCAGCUGUCUCACUAAAAUUUACAAGUUCAAUAUAGUUCUUUUUCGGUUCUGUUUUAGCGAAUAAAAAGUUACCAAAUUA